rnacentral:rRNA from 1 species
AGUGAACGCUGGCGGUAGGCCUAACACAUGCAAGUCGAACGGCAGCACAGUAAGAGCUUGCUCUUACGGGUGGCGAGUGGCGGACGGGUGAGGAAUACAUCGGAAUCUACUUUUUCGUGGGGGAUAACGUAGGGAAACUUACGCUAAUACCGCAUACGACCUACGGGUGAAAGCAGUGGAUCUUCGGACCUUGCGCGAUUGAAUGAGCCGAUGUCGGAUUAGCUAGUUGGCAGGGUAAAGGCCCACCAAGGCGACGAUCCGUAGCUGGUCUGAGAGGAUGAUCAGCCACACUGGAACUGAGACACGGUCCAGACUCCUACGGGAGGCAGCAGUGGGGAAUAUUGGACAAUGGGCGCAAGCCUGAUCCAGCAAUACCGCGUGGGUGAAGAAGGCCUUCGGGUUGUAAAGCCCUUUUGUUGGGAAAGAAAAGCAGCAGGUUAAUACCCCGCUGUUCUGACGGUACCCAAAGAAUAAGCACCGGCUAACUUCGUG